CAAAGGGAGCAGAUUGUAAAUCUGCCGGCACUGCCUUCGAAGGUUCGAAUCCUUCCCCCACCA
rfam:Photobacterium iliopiscarium strain ATCC 51761 CFSAN029430_contig0159, whole genome shotgun sequence.